rnacentral:rRNA from 1 species
UGAGUAACCUGCCCCAGACUCUGGAAUAAGCGCUGGAAACGGCGUCUAAUACCGGAUAUGAGACGGAGUCGCAUGACUACCGUCUGGAAAGUUUUUCGGUCUGGGAUGGACUCGCGGCCUAUCAGCUUGUUGGUGAGGUAACGGCUCACCAAGGCAAUGGACGGGUAGCCGGCCUGAGAGGGCAUCGGCCACACUGGGACUGAGACACGGCCCAGACCUCCGUACGGGGAGGNAG